ACGGCAGCACGGAGCUUGCUCUGGUGGCGAGUGGCGAACGGGUAAGUAAUAUAUCGGAACGUACCCUAGAGUGGGGGAUAACGUAGCGAAAGUUACGCUAAUACCGCAUACGAUCUAAGGAUGAAAGUGGGGGAUCGCAAGACCUCAUGCUCGUGGAGCGGCCGAUAUCUGAUUAGCUAGUUGGUAGGGUAAAAGCCUACCAAGGCAUCGAUCAGUAGCUGGUCUGAGAGGACGACCAGCCACACUGGAACUGAGACACGGUCCAGACUCCUACGGGAGGCAGCAGUGGGGAAUUUUGGACAAUGGGCGAAAGCCUGAUCCAGCAAUGCCGCGUGAGUGAAGAAGGCCUUCGGGUUGUAAAGCUCUUUUGUCAGGGAAGAAACGGUGAGAGCUAAUAUCUUUUGCUAAUGACGGUACCUGAAGAAUAAGCACCGGCUAACUACGUGCCAGCAGCCGCGGUAAUACGUAGGGUGCAAGCGUUAAUCGGAAUUACUGGGCGUAAAGCGUGCGCAGGCGGUUUUGUAAGUCUGAUGUGAAAUCCCCGGGCUCAACCUGGGAAUUGCAUUGGAGACUGCAAGGCUAGAAUCUGGCAGAGGGGGGUAGAAUUCCACGUGUAGCAGUGAAAUGCGUAGAUAUGUGGAGGAACACCGAUGGCGAAGGCAGCCCCCUGGGUCAAGAUUGACGCUCAUGCACGAAAGCGUGGGGAGCAAACAGGAUUAGAUACCCUGGUAGUCCACGCCCUAAACGAUGUCUACUAGUUGUCGGGUCUUAAUUGACUUGGUAACGCAGCUAACGCGUGAAGUAGACCGCCUGGGGGAGUACGGUCGCAAGAUUAAAACUCAAAGGAAUUGACGGGGACCCGCACAAGCGGUGGAUGAUGGUGGAUUAAUUCGAUGCAACGCGAAAAACCUUACCUACCCUUGACAUGGCUGGAAUCCUUGAGAGA
rnacentral:rRNA from 1 species